AAGAGAUUUCAACAAAAAUAAUUAAAAUUAAAUUAAAGAAAGAAAUCCCUAAAAGCCUAAAGAAAAGGGGGGAAAGAUGAGGCCGAUGCUGAUGGAAUUCGUGACGGACCCAGACGACCAAGGUUCAGCCAUGGAAGUUGACGAUGUUGACACACCGGAGAUCUUCGGUGAAGGCGUCAUUGCUUCCGACAACAAGCUCGCCUAUGCCGAUUUCUUCAACAACUUCGAAGAUGAUUUUGAUGACUCCGAUAUCGACUAAAAAAUAAAGAAGAAUCGUUUCAAGAAAUUCUGCAGAAGGCAUCAGGGGUUAUAAAAAAGUCUAUGCAAGGAGCUCAGGAAGUAGGGAAGUCUGCGACAAUAGAUAAUGGACUUGGGAUGCAUACUAUGUCAGAUAGUACACAAAGGAAAGGAAUCGCUGCAGUUCAAGGGUCUCAAACUAAGGUACCAACUUUUAGAACUUCUUUUUUCCUCUUUUAACCGUUGGUAUUUAAAAAAAAGUCAAGGAUGUUUAUAUGUUGAGGAUGAAAUGGUUUUGGAGUUUCACUGAUAUUCAUAAAUACAGUUCUUGUAACAAUUUCUCGUUUAUCUGGUAAACCUUGGUAACUAUUUAAGCACAUGUUGCAUGGUUUUUUUUUUAAUCUUGUUUAAGGCAUAGCGUUUCUUGGUAGUGAUGGCUAUAUUCAUGGCUGACAGUAUAUAUUACAUGCUGAUGAAGUAAUUAGAAUCUGUUGAAAGACAUAGGUGGAAAGGAAUGAAUUGUUCAUUCAUUUUUCUUCAUAGACGAGUUUUGCAACGUGGAAUGACAUAUAACUCUAGAUUAUUUUUCAAGGGAAAAGAUGAAUGUUGAGUUUAUUUAUGUCUUCAAGCCCAAAGUUUUUCAUAGACCAGUUUCUUCAUAGGGUUCAGUGUAUUGUUUAUUAAUUUUUAAGAUGAAUUCAUUGCAUAAAUCUAUCCAUUGCAACUUACUUCUAUAACUAAUAGAAUGUAUCAAGUUAUUUGUGUUCUCUUUUUUAUUUCUUUUUCUCUUAAAUAAAAUUAGGUUGACUAUGCCCUCAUUUGAUCUUCCAUAGAGAAAUACCAAAACUAGAAAGCAAGAUCUGAAGACUUCAUUAAACCUAUUCGUUGCUACCUUUAGAACUAAUGCUAUGUAUCAUGUUAAACCCAUAGACUCUGCAUUCUGCUGCCCUUGUCUACCAUGGAUAUUUGUUGACAGGUGACCUGUAAUGGAACCAUGAACUUUCUAUAAAGCAUUUUCAUAAUUGCUCGACUUUUCUGUGUCACUUGCAAUGCAAACUAAAGGUCUACAUUAUCAUCACUGAUGGUAAUGACAUCUUUCAUGAAUCAGUAUUUGAGAGUGGGAAAGACAUCUUUGAUGAAUCAAUAUCCUUUAUUUUGAGAUACAUGCUUUGUUUAAGCACAUUAUAUUUGUUAGUUGCAUUGAAAGACACACAAUGACAAUUACAUAGGCUGUUGUAGUUUCUUAACUUGUCAUCCAGAUAUGUUUACAACAAAUUCAACCAACAGUACAAAGCUACAAUUGGAGCUGAAUUUAUCACCAAAGAAUUACAGAUUGAUGACAAAUUGGUAACUUUGCAAAUAUGGGAUACAGCGGGACAAGAAAGGUUCCAGAGUCUUGGUUUUGCAAUUUAUCGAGGGGCAGAUUGCUGUGUUAUUGUGUUUGAUGUGAACAUACUCAGAUCGUUUGAAACACUAAACAAUUGGCGUGAAGAAUUUCUGAAAUGGGUCACAUAAUUCUGUACUGUACAUCUUAUUUCUUCACAAGUAAUAAAACAGAUCAUAACAUGUUUGCUGUAAUGUCCUAGUUGUAAACUGUAAAGACUCUACAUGGUUCUCUUUAACUUAAACAAAAAAUUAGUUUGUAUUUAGCUUUUAUCUGUGAUCCAAAUUAUUCUGGAAAACUUGCGAAUGGUCUUGUUUCAUUUUUCAUGUAAAAAAGGUUGGGUCUUACCUUGUGAGUCAGUAGUCUCUUUCUAUUUCAUUCUGCAUGUGGUAUUCAUUAUGUGUUCAAUCCUCUUUCAGUGCUUGUACAAGAGAUUUACACUAUCAUGAUUUGUACAAUAUAGGAAGUUGAUGACUGAUCCAAAUUCACCCAUUAUUGAUUUUUAUCCGACCGAUUUUGAAGUUGACAUGAAUGGCAAGCGGUAUUCUUGGCAGGAUGAAGAAGCACAGAGAAACAGUACAAUAUGUGACAUGCUUUUUGUGGCUGCAUCACACCGCCUCCCUGAACAAAUCUUUUCUCUUGACAGUCGUUGUAAACAAUUGCCAGAAAGGCAGCGAAUUGAAGUCAAGGAGGAAGUCAAACCUGAUUUGAGCUGCCAAUACGAAGGAGGCUCUGGCAUUUGGAAAAGCUAAGCUGGUGAGGUCGAAAGAUAGCAGAACUAAUGAGUGACUUGAGGAUUUGUGGAAGGACCAAGCCAGACACCGGCAAGUCCACGCGAAAGGCAUUGUGCUGUAUCAUGCAUAUGGAUGGAAACUCUUAGAGGCUAUGGCUCGAGGUUCAAUAAGUGUAAUUUUAUCAAAAUUUUAGGCUCCAAGUUACUAUAUACACAUAGGCACGCUCCGUUAGGCAAAAUGAUUAUAAGAACCUUAGUACUUGUUUAAUAGAGAAUUUUAUUUGAAGUUUAAAUUUUGAAUCA